rnacentral:antisense_RNA from 1 species
GCGGUAGUGUGAGGAAGCCUCCCGCCAAACAGACGAGAGAGGAAGAGGAGGGGAGGGGCCAGAGAGAGAAGCGGCUUUCGGGAAGGAAAGUGUGGUCUAGGAGGUGGAAUAGUCUCCAAACUUUGACCUGAGGCCUUAAAUUCCACAACCUCAUCAUCUACCACCUUUGGUGCUUUCAGAAUCAUAACUCUCAAUGUUGAAGAGUGGGCUACUGCAUGGAAGGUGCUGAUCCUUUUAGAGGCAGCCAUGGAAGAGGAAAAGAGGCCAGAAGAGAAAAGGAUAUUGGUUUGCUGGAACAUGUAGGACAAGAAGUUCCCAGAAGAAUUUGUGAGCAACUUCCCAACAGUAAGGCCCUGGCUAGACCUCAGGAUGGUCCCUGCCUCCUGGACAUUAGGAAGCCCAAAGGCCAGAACAAAAACACAUGCCUAGUGGGGGAAGGCUCACUAAGAGGGCACCAGGUGGGGCAAAUACCCCUGGUAACCCAUUUAUGGAGGCUGCCACAGAAAUGCCAGUUGGAAAUUUUCCUCCUUCAGUCUACCAUGAAUUUCUUUUUUCUCUUUUGAGAUGGAGUCACCUGGGCUGCAGUUCAGUGGUGCAAUCUCAGCUCACUGCAAGCUCUGCCUCCCGGGUUCCAACGAUUGUCUUGUCUCAGCCUCCUGAGUAGCUGAGAUUACAAGCAUGCACCAUCAUACCCGACUAAUUUUUGUAUUUAUAGUAGAAAUGGGGUUUUG